UGCCAGCCGCCGCGGUAAUACGGAGUGUGCAAGCGUUACUCGGAAUCACUGGGCAUAAAGCGCGCGUAGGCUGGUUGUUUAGUCGGUAGUGAAAGCCCCCAGCUCAACUGGGGAACUGCUACCGAAACUGGCAGCCUUGAGGACAAGAGGGGAAAGUGGAACUUCUGGUGGAGCGGUGAAAUGCGUAGAUAUCAGAAGGAACACCGGUGGCGAAAGCGACUUUCUGGCUUGUCCCUGACGCUGAGGUGCGAAAGCGUGGGGAGCGAACGGGAUUAGAUA
rnacentral:rRNA from 1 species